GUUUUUCCAGUGAUAUUUUCCACUUCUCAUAUUCUUCCGAUCGUCCCUGGUCUUGGGUGUUAUACGGGAGUAUCAGCAGGUAACCUCGGGGACCGGCUCCUCCUUCCAUGUUGGCGGCUCCCUCUUCUAACGGUUUCCUCCAUGGUGUUGGUUUCUGUUUGGUUAGUACAUUAAACACAAUCAAAAAUUCGGUUUUUACAAAACACGCCUAAGGUGAGGUUGUCGAAAAGAAUGUUUGAUACUCUUGCUUCAACGCAGACUUUUUAACAGUUUCUCAGUAUGAGUCGCCUUUAAAAGUAGAGAUAUAUAAAAAGGGGAUACAGUCGGCAAAAGAGUUGGACUUCAACGUGGAAAAAGAAAACCGAACAAGAAGGUAAGUACCCCCUUCACGUUCAAAUUGUAGUAUCUAUACGUGCAUCCUAUUUAAUGUACAGAAGUAAAGUGAAAAAACAAAUGUUCCACUGAUACUAGGUUGUUUAUGUCAUAUAUAAAGAAGGGUUCCAUGAGCUUAACAUUUCUAUGUUCUCUCGAUCAAUAUUUCAUCUGUCUAAGGCGUUUUUUUUUCAAUAUUUUAUCCGUCCCAUUAAUUUAUAUAAAACGUAGAGAGAAGAAAGGGAAAAGGAAAAGAAAAAGAAAGAUCGUAGGCGUUUUUUUAUUUUUUUAUCUUCUCUUGAAAAGAAACACUCUUCUUUUUUCUCUCUCUUCCCUUGACCAGGUGAUUAAUAUACAAGAUGGGUUCAACCGGAGUGCUUACAGCAGUAAUACACCGGUAUCGGUGCGGUACUAGUGGUACACGAGUGAGAGCGUAGACCUCGUUCUUUACAACAGUAGCAGCGUUGUGGUACACAAUCACUGGUCGUUGCAUCAUGCCUGCGUAGGUCCAGGUUUUUCAGAAAUAGCAGCGAGGGCGGUCCUAGCUGGGUUCGUUUUAAUUAGUUGCGCAUACGUACCGCUGCCUCUGCCCGGAGACGCUGGAGGGCCGCCUGACGGACCGGGAGCAGCGGAGGGACUGGAGGGGGCCGCUGCGCACGUCCGACCGCCGGUGGCGGUGGCGCGAGGCCCGCCGGCGGCCGAGGCUGCUCCAGACCCCCUCGAAGGAGGGCCGCCUGACCCGGCUGUAGGAGCGCGCCACACCGUGGCGGCCGGCGGCGCUCCCACUUUGCUUCUUCCUCGAGAAGAGGGCGGAGACGCUGAGGGGGCAGGAAGAGCUGCCGCCGUUCGACCAUUAGAAACGACAACGCGUCUGAAUUAACAAUCAUGGUAAGUAGUUUACUAGCUAGAGCUUACUGUAACCGUACCUAGCUGGCCGGCCCGCUCUUCUCGAAGAGCGACCUGUCCGCAUCGCCGCCGUUCUUCAUGUACUAUGGCCGCUUUCGAGACACAAUACCUACCUCACCCAUGGGGAUGCCUCCGGAGCGGACCAGCGUGACGGUGGGAGUGAGGUCUAAGGCACUCCACCGACAAGAUAGCGUGAACACGACCGACCUGCACAUACCGUAAAACUUGUGGUUUUUGGAGGGCCCGCAGCCAUCUCCGAUACGGCGGAUAGAGCAUAUGUCCCACGUGACCAACGGUCGAGGUUUGUGGCCAGUCUUCGUUUCGGUUCUUCGAUGUCGCAGGAGACGGCGACGGUAGACGUUGGUACUCACGUUGGUAGACCACGGAGUAUUGAUGAGCGCUAGAGGCAAUACCCUGACCCUGACCCUUGAACUACCUAGCAGUAGCAACAGGCGUAAUCAUCGGUACUGGCUCUUCUUAGUUUCAGCCUUCGCUGCCGACUUUGGACUACCGCACUCGCACUCCUCACUGCCUGCCACCCAUCUCGUUCUCUAGUCUUAUGUCAACCUGCUCGUCACAGACCUUCCUUUGCUCUCAUUACACAGGUAACUCAAGUCUCCCAACUGUCCCAGCGUACCCACGGUCUAAUAGUAUCUCCCCUAGCUCCAAUCCGGCUGUCGUUACCUCUCAACUUUCGUACACCUACGACGAAUCUAUCUAUUUAAGUCAUCAUAACACUUCAAACAAACACAGACAUAACGUUAAACGUUGAUACAACAAUUGAACUAUAGAAUUAAUUAAAACACGGAAUACAAGUUGAUCACAAAACUGUUGUUUCUAGGUCUUAUUUCGGG
rnacentral:rRNA from 1 species